CUCCUCAAACCUGAAUAAUGCGACCACGACCAGAGAGGACGGGAGCAGAGCGGAGAAGAGCGACGGAAUAGGACUAUGAGUUAUAGAACGCGGGACUCCACCACUUCGGCAACGACGCUCGCGAUUGCCUAUGGAGGCGCGAGGCUGGAGCUCCCUUGCAACUGACGGCGACAGCGAGAAUUCCGGCGGCGGCGGUCGCGUUGGAGGAACUUAGGGUUUCCUUCCAGGGAGAUGCUCCUAGUGAGAAGAACUGAGAAGACCAACCCAAGUUAAAUGAUUUAAGCACAAUUAUAUAUUUAGCCCACUCUUGCACCUACGGCAUUACGGCAAUACUCUUCUAUUCUGUUUUGUUCCUCAACAGUGGCUCUCUGCAAAGCAAAGGUUAUCUGUUUGAUAUGGAAGGUGGAGAGAACAUUCUAGAUAUCAUUAAUAAUGAUUAUGAUGAUGGUGAUGAUGUUUUAAUGGUUGAUGUUGAAGAAGGAGAGUUGGUGGAACCUGAUUUCUGGAAUUCUUUGGGACAAAGUGAAGCUGGAGGUACCAAUGAAGCAAAUGAAGACUCUCAUAAUAAGGACCACAGGCUUAGAGCUCAAAAGAAAAGUAAUAAGAGAAAGAAGAAAGCUUCAGGGUCCAAGGCAAUUGAUAUAAUCAGGUUUAUUAUUUUCUCCAAUGUGAAAUUUAAUAUUAUCUUCAUGGACUCAUUUUAACUUUAUGACCCAGUAGAAUUCGGAUUGUUUUAUGAUGUAUUUAAGGCUUUUGAAUCUCUUCAUUUUCAUUUAGUUAUAGAAUGAAGCAUUGGUCACUGCUCCAUUUUAAUCCCAACCUUAAUACAGUCUCUGAAACUUAAUCGAAUUAAUGUGUAGAUAAACUUGAUUUGUUUGUAUCUCUAUUAACAAGUUUUGGCUGC